rnacentral:rRNA from 1 species
ACUCAAAUGAAUUGACGGGGGCCCGCACAAGCGGAGGAACAUGUGGUUUAAUUCGAUGAUACGCGAGGAACCUUACCCGGGCUCGAACGGCUUCUGAAUAUGGAUGAAAGUCUGUAGUCGCAAGACAGAAGUCGAGGUGCUGCAUGGUUGUCGUCAGCUCGUGCCGUGAGGUGUCGGCUUAAGUGCCAUAACGAGCGCAACCCUUACCGAUAGUUACCAGCAAGUUACGUUGGGGACUCUAUCGGGACUGCCACCGUAAGGUGCGAGGAAGGUGGGGAUGACGUCAAAUCAGCACGGCCCUUACGUCCGGGGCGACACACGUGUUACAAUGGGGGGGACAAAAGGCAGCUACCCGGCAACGGGAUGCGAAUCUCUAAACCCUCUCCCAGUUCGGAUUGGAGUCUGCAACCCGACUUCAUGAAGCUGGAUUCGCUAGUAAUCGCGCAUCAGCCAUGGCGCGGUGAAUACGUUCCCGGGCCUUGUACACACCGCCCGU